rnacentral:rRNA from 1 species
AUUGUCUAAGAUAGCCAUGCACGUCUAAGUACAAACUAAAUGAUGGUGAAACUGCAAAUGGCUCAUUACAACGGUUAUGAUGUACCCGGGAGUUCCGAUGGAUAUUUCCAGUAACACUAGAACUAAUACAUGUCCCUGCGUUUAUUAGUUUCGCACAGUCCGUCGCUGAGUCAUGGUAAACAGUUGAUCGACUCGACGUCCCGGAACAGUUUCCGCCCCAUCAGCUUCGAUGGUUGGGUAUUGGCCUACCAUUGCAACAACGGGUAACGAGGAAUUAGGGUUUGAUUUCGGAGAGGGAGCCUGAGAAACGGCUACCACAUCUACGGAUGGCAGCAGGCGCGCAAAUUACCCAAUGCAGACACUGUGAGGUAGUGACGAGAAAUAAUAAAGCGGGACUUCUGUUUCGCUAUUAUAAUGAGGAAUAACCAAAGGUCAUUCCGAUUAGCAACUGAUGGGAAAGUCUGGUGCCAGCAGCCGCGGUAAUACCAGCGUCAGUAGCA